UUGACUAUGUAAUGAGAAUUGUUAUUAUUAACUCAACUGGUCGCGAGAUCAGCCAGGUAAGCAAAGAGUCCCUCAUCAGGCUCUUCGGUUAUCUCCUCAUCAGGCUAAUCACGGUUAUUGACCCGGCACUUUGCCGGGUCUUUUUUUU
rnacentral:sRNA from 1 species